rnacentral:rRNA from 1 species
AUUGAACGCUGGCGGCAGGCCUAACACAUGCAAGUCGAACGAGUGGCGGACGGGUGAGUAAUGUCUGGGAAACUGCCUGAUGGAGGGGGAUAUCUACUGUAAACGGUAGCUAAUACCGCAUACCAUCAGAUGUGCCCAGAUGGGUUUAGCUAGUUGGUGGGGUAACGGCGAACCAAGGCGACGAUCCCUAGCUGGGCUGAGAGGAUGACCAGCCACACUGGAACUGAGACACGGUCCAGACUCCGACGGGAGGCAGCAGUGGGGAAUAUUGCACAAUGGGCGCAAGCCUGAUGCAGCCAUGCCGCGUGUAUGAAGAAGGCCUUCGGGUUGUAAAGUACUGUCAGCGGGGAGGCGUUACCCGCAGAAGAAGCACCGGCUAACUCCGUGCCAGCAGCCGCGGUAAUUC